AAGACAUAGUACUAUGAAUGC
rnacentral:miRNA from 1 species